ensembl:ncRNA F54E4.6 ncRNA
GCAGAAAAAAAACACAUCAUGCACUACUUCUGUUGCCUACUCUACUCUGAAGAGUGAGAGAGAAACGGGGCAAGAAUUUUUUUCCCAGAGCAGUGUUUUGGCAGGGUCCGUGGAAAAAAAAAGAAGAAGAGGAGAUUUGCUUUCUUCGCGUCGCCGUCCUUCUCUCCGUUUUCCUCCCAACUUCCCGCGCCUUUUU